rnacentral:lncRNA from 1 species
AAACAACCCUGAUUUCCAAGGGCACAUGGUAAGAAUUAGAGCUUUUGGAUAUGCUUCAUUCUAAAGGGAGAAUUGAUACAAUGAAGUAACUUUAGAAGAUUAAAGGUAUUACUACUAAACAAUCAUGAGGUACUUUCAGAUACAGCGUAUAGACUAAGUUCCUAUGCAUGAGACUUUAUGCCAACAAUUGUGAGGUCCCAGAACUUUCUCUCAGGAACUGUUUCAAUGACUGCUGUUUAUCAACGUGAAAGAAAGUAUCCAGGAGAACAUGGAGAAAAUUAAAACUUUGUGGAGAAUGAAAGCCAGCUCAGGGAUCAUUUCUAACCCCAUGCACAGGAUAUUUAUAGCCUCCCUGUCUUACUUGUUCUUUACCACAGUUCUGUGAAAUAGGCAUUAUUCCAAUUUUUUGAUGAGAAAAACGAAGCUCAAAGAAACUGUGACCUUCCUAAGACAGUCAGUGAGAGUGGCAUCGGAAUUCUGAUCCGAUCUGAUCGACACUGCUGAUGGCAAAUAUGAUGCUCUCCGCUAUGACAGACUGCCUCACUAUCUACCAUACAGCUGGAAGUGGGUCUUUUCUUGUCAUUCCUGAAGUGAGAAGUGCUUCUAAAGCGAGUGUCAACCUAAAUAGGUAAACUGAGGCAAGCUCAAAUUACCAUAAAUUGAGUUUAUUUGAGAAAAGCAGAAGAAUUGCAAUACAGCGCACGCAAACUGUAGCAAGCUACAGUUUGAAAUCCUUCCACAUGAGGAAGCAGAUAUUACUUUCCCGCAAAGGAUUGAGACCAGCGGCAUGGCUAAGAAUCAUGGAAACAGUGGUAAAGACCAAUUCAAGGCAAAGCAAAUUAGCAAAAGAUGCAGGUAAAAAAGUAUGGAGGACUCAGCAAAAAACUUGCAUAAAGUGCCCUUACAGAUUGACAAAACCGCGUGACAAAUACCCCGUGGACAUUGCUGCUUCCUCUGCACUUUGUAUGGAGGUUCAUAUUAACCUCAUUAUCCAGUUAUUUGUAUUUUCUGGGCCCUGAUGUUCUAGCAUAUUCAGAUGGGAAAGGCCAAGAGAACUAAAAUGGUUGGAAUGUGCUGACCUUGCCUUUGUCUGUUGAGUCUUAUGAAGUAUCUCCAGGGGUUUUUAAGGCCAGACAAGAAAAUGCUGUGAAGGCACAUGAAAGAGAAGUCUGUGCAGGGAUCCCCAACACAAACCAGAGAAAAUUUUCUGUAUCUAAAGGCUAUCUGCUUUGUUGCUUCUGGACAAAAGUCUGAGAGGAAGGGGAAGCAUGUGCUGCCUUCCAAAUGGAAAGGACCGUCGCAUCAGACUCUUGCGGGCAUGAGGUCCUUGUUGGUGGAGCUCUUCCCCAGCCAUGAGAAAAGAAACGGAUGACAAAGUCUUCUGAAAUGGAACUCUUCACUGCUAUCUGACUCUUCUAGAAGAUCUUCAUUUUUAGAAGAUUUUGUGUUUCAUCCAGAAAUCAAAUGUAAUUAUGUUGUACUUGGAAAUAUUUGAUUCAUAUCGGGUAUGAAAUAUUAAAGAUGAAAAAUGACUGGAAAGAUGAUGAAAAGAACUACUUAAACAUUAUGAAUAAGACAAAAUGCCUUAUUUGAAUUCAGUCAACACAGAUUGAGCCUUUUCAGCACUAGUUAAUGAGCCUACCUAGAUGAGGAAGACCCUGACCUUAUGGAUCCUUCAGCCCAGUGAGGUGGUCACACCACCCAAUGCAGUAUAAAAAAUAUGUAAUGGGGGGGGUCUGGCCCCGUGGCCGAGUGGUUGGGUUCACGCGCUCCGCUGCAGGCGGCCCAGUGUUUCGUCAGUUCGAAUCCUGGGCGCGGACAUGACACUGCUCGUCGAACCACGCUGGGGUGGCGUCCCACAUACCACAACUAGAAGGACCCACAACGAAGAACAUACAACUAUGUGCCAGGGGGCUUUGGGGAGAAAAAGGAAAAAAUAAAAAUCUUUAAAAAAAAUGUAAUGGGGACACAUACAACAUGCCACUGGGAGGCAGAGGUAAAUUUAUCUGAAGAAGAUUGGGAAAGGGUCCACUAGGGUGAUGCCCUUGUUGAUGAUGUCUUGUAGGUGUUCACCAGGUGCAGAAGAGGGGAAAGGACAUUGCAAACAGAGGGAUGCAUAUGUGCAGACAAUGAGGCAUGUGCAUAUGCCCGCUGCUGGAAUAGAGGGGAGCUUUGGGUGGCUAAAGCUUUAUGGUGGACAUGACAUAAAAUGAGUCUAAGAUCUGCUGUGGUUAGAUGGAGA